ACACAUGCAAGUCGAACGAGAGAGAGGAAGCUUGCUUCCUCAAUCGAGUGGCGAACGGGUGAGUAACGCGUGAGGAACCUGCCUCAAAGAGGGGGACAACAGUUGGAAACGACUGCUAAUACCGCAUAAGCCCACAGGUCGGCAUCGACCAGAGGGAAAAGGAGCAAUCCGCUUUGAGAUGGCCUCGCGUCCGAUUAGCUAGUUGGUGAGGUAAUGGCCCACCAAGGCAACGAUCGGUAGCCGGACUGAGAGGUUGAACGGCCACAUUGGGACUGAGACACGGCCCAGACUCCUACGGGAGGCAGCAGUGGGGAAUAUUGCACAAUGGGGGAAACCCUGAUGCAGCGACGCCGCGUGGAGGAAGAAGGUCUUCGGAUUGUAAACUCCUGUUGUUGAGGAAGAUAAUGACGGUACUCAACAAGGAAGUGACGGCUAACUACGUGCCAGCAGCCGCGGUAAAACGUAGGUCACAAGCGUUGUCCGGAAUUACUGGGUGUAAAGGGAGCGCAGGCGGGAAGACAAGUUGGAAGUGAAAUCUAUGGGCUCAACCCAUAAACUGCUUUCAAAACUGUUUUUCUUGAGUAGUGCAGAGGUAGGCGGAAUUCCCGGUGUAGCGGUGGAAUGCGUAGAUAUCGGGAGGAACACCAGUGGCGAAGGCGGCCUACUGGGCACCAACUGACGCUGAGGCUCGAAAGUGUGGGUAGCAAACAGGAUUAGAUACCCUGGUAGUCCACACCGUAAACGAUGAUUACUAGGUGUUGGAGGAUUGACCCCUUCAGUGCCGCAGUUAACACAAUAAGUAAUCCACCUGGGGAGUACGACCGCAAGGUUGAAACUCAAAGGAAUUGACGGGGGCCCGCACAAGCAGUGGAGUAUGUGG
rnacentral:rRNA from 1 species